GACGAACCGUGCGAACGUUGUUCGGAAUCACUGGGCUUAAAGGGCGCGUAGGCGGGCCGUCAGGCCCGCGGUGAAAUCCCCCGGCUCAACCGGGGAAGUGCCGCGGGGACCGGCGGUCUGGAGUGAGAUAGGGGCGUGCGGAACUGUGGGUGGAGCGGUGAAAUGCGUUGAUAUCCACAGGAACUCCGGUGGCGAAGGCGGCAACGCUGGAUC
rnacentral:rRNA from 1 species